rnacentral:rRNA from 1 species
GACGAACGCUGGCGGCGUGCUUAACACAUGCAAGUCGAACGGUAAGGCUCCAGCUUGCUGGGGUACACGAGUGGCGAACGGGUGAGUAACACGUGGGUGACCUGCCCUGCACUUCGGGAUAAGCCUGGGUAACUGGGUCUAAUACCGGAUAGGACCGCACCGUGAGGGUGUGGUGGAAGGUUUUUUCGGUGUGGGCUGGGCCCUCGGCCUAUCAGCUUGUUGGUGGGGUAAUGGCCUACCACGGCGGCGACGGGUAGCCGGCCUGAGAUGGUAGACGGCGACAUUGGGACUGAGACACGGCCCAGACUGCUACGGGAGGCAGCAGUGGGGAAUAUUGCACAAUGGGCGGAAGCCUGAGGCAGCGACGCCGCGUGGGGGAUGACGGCCUUCGGGUUGUAAACUCCUGUCACCAUCGACGAAGGGUUUCUGACGGUAGAUGGAGAAGAAGCACCGGCUAACUACGUG